rnacentral:lncRNA from 1 species
CUUUAAUGUAUGUAAACAUUUCAAAUGUCUUAUUCAAAAAGGUGAGGAGAUGUAUAAUUUGAUUAUCAACUGACUGAAGUCUACCAUUAUCUUAAGCUGGAAGCUCAUAGUAGUUAAAUUCUUUGUACCAGGUACUGAUUCCAGUGCUGUGCAUUUACUAAUUCACUUAAUCCUCACAGAAACUUUACAAAAUAGAUUCCAUUACUUAUUCCUAUUUACAGAUGAGGAAAUUGAAGCAAAGGACUUUCCUAAUGAUCAUAUAGCUGUGGGUGACAGAGCCAGCAUGCAAAACCAGGUCAUUUGGAUUUAGAGGCAUUGCAUUUAACCUGUACUUUUAAGCAUCUAGGGUGGCAUCUGGUUCUAGAAUAAAGGUUGAGAAUCAUUUUUCUGUAAAGGACCAGAUAGUAAAUAUGGGACUGUGGCCAAGAGGAAAAAUUGAGAUUAUUGUGGAAAGUAAGUAAAUGGAGAGAAAACAGAUUUCUACAAAAUUUUUGAUGAAUUCAAGACAUAAUAAUUGAGAAUAUUUUUUUCUGUUUUUAAAAUAUGACUCUACCAAUGAGAAGAAUUAAAUGACUUUGGGAGUAUCCUUUCUCUUAACUGUAGUUCAAAGUUAGUAUGUCCUAUCAUCAAAAUGAUAGGGACUGGCAAGCUGGGGUUGUGGUUCAGUGGUAGAAUGUUUUUCUCCCAUGCGUGAGGCACUGGGUUCGAUCCUCAGAACCACAUAAAUAAAAUAAAGGUAUUGUGCCCAUCUACAACUAAAAAAAAAAAUCUUUUUUAAAAAAAAUGAUAAGGACUGUGAUGUAGAUCAGUGGUGUAUGUAUGAAGCUGUAGGUUCAGUCCUAACAGUGAAAAAAAAUUUUUAUCGUAGGUAUUCAUCUGCUAAUGCUAAUUUGAAAGAUUUUACAUAUUUCAUCUUUUCUUAAAAGUAGGUAUUAUCAAAUACUUAAAUUAAUCCAUGAGAAUAUUAUUUUUGUUGGUCAUAUCUAUCACUUGGAAGGAAGGCAUUGAUAGAAUUAGGUUAUUUUAUUUCUCUUGAUAUUUUUCUUUUAGCAUGUUAUUACAUUGUAGAUUAAUCACUUCCAAUUGAAGAUUAAGUGGAAACUCCUCUUUGG